rnacentral:piRNA from 1 species
UGAAACCUCAGAAGUCUGUCCAUCUC